rnacentral:rRNA from 1 species
UUCCCGGUGAUCCCGCCGGACCCCACUGCUAUCGGGAUAGGACUAAGACAUGCUAGUCGAGCGCCUCCCAGCCACGACGGAGGCGCGGCGCACAGCUCAGUAACACGUGGCUAACCUGCCCUCGGGACGGGAAUACCCCCGGGAAACUGGGGCUAAUCCCCGAUAGGUGAAGAACUCUGGAAUGAGUCUCCGCCCAAAAGACGCUUAAAUCAUGCUUUUAGGCGCCGCCCAAGGAUGGGGCCGCGACCGAUCAGGUAGUUGGUGAGGCAACGGCUCACCAAGCCUUUAACCGGUGCGGGCCGUGGGAGCGGGAGCCCGGAGAUGGGCACUGAGACAAGGGCCCAGGCCCUACGGGGCGCAGCAGUCGCGAAAACUUUGCAAUACACGAAAGUGUGACAGGGCUAUCCCGAGUGCCAUCCGCUGAGGAAGGCUUUUACCCAGUAUAGAAAGCUGGGAGAAUAAGGAGAGGGCAAGUCUGGUGUCAGCCGCCGCGGUAAUACCAGCUCUCCGAGUGGUGUGGAUGUUUAUUGGGCCUAAAGCAUCCGUAGCUGGCCAAGUUAGUCCCCUGUUAAAUCCACCGAAUUAAUCGUUGGAGUGCGGGGGAUACUGCUCGGCUAGGGGACGAGAGAGGCCGACGGUAUUUUCGGGGUAGGGGUGAAAUCCUAUAAUCCCGGAAAGACCACCAGUGGCGAAGGCUGUCGGCUAGAACGCGCCCGACGGUGAGGGAUGAAAGCUGGGGGAGCGAACCGGAUUAGAUACCCGGGUAGUCCCAGCUGUAAACGAUGCAGGCUAGGUGUUUGGGCGGCCACGGGCCGCUCUAGUGCCGCAGGGAAGCCGUUAAGCCUGCCGCCUGGGGAGUACGGCCGCAAGGCUGAAACUUAAAGGAAUUGGCGGGGGAGCACCACAAGGGGUGAAGCUUGCGGUUUAAUUGGAGUCAACGCCGGGA